CUGAUUUUGGUAGCAUCCUUUGGUCUCUUCUAGUCUGGGAGUCAGAGAAAGUUUGCAUCAAAAUGUCAUCAGGGAUUCAUUUCCAUCAUUUCAAGCAGGGUCAUCUUGGAACAGGACACAGGAUAGCCAAAAACAAUCCAUUGAUACACUUGGUGACAUUAAUUGAGAAAAAAACAAUAUGGUCUGGCCAUGGAGGCAUGGUAUCCGUAACAUCCCCCAAAGGAGCUAAAGAAGAAAUCCACAAUUUACCAUGAGCAUUUCUCGUCUGAAGAUUGCCAAGCGAUUCCUCCAGGACAUUCCUCAAGAUCAAUUUCUGUUCAUCCACCUUGUCCUGGGAGGGACAUCAAUGGGUUUCCAUGUCCUUUGGCUUCUGGUUGAGUUCACUCAGUGGAGAACCCUGGCAAGAGGCAGGAAAAGGGGAGGAAG
rnacentral:lncRNA from 10 species